rnacentral:rRNA from 1 species
UACGUAGGGUGCAAGCGUUAAUCGGAAUUACUGGGCGUAAAGCGUGCGCAGGCGGCUUUGUAAGCCAGAUGUGAAAUCCCCGGGCUUAACCUGGGAAUGGCAUUUGGGACUGCAAGGCUGGAGUGUGGCAGAGGAGACUGGAAUUCCUGGUGUAGCAGUGAAAUUCGUAGAUAUUAGGAAGAACACCGGUGGCGAAGGCGGCCCACUGGCUCGAUACUGACGCUGAGGUGCGAAAGCGUGGGGAGCAAACAGG